GUGUCGUAACCUGUCGUGCUUUUCUGUAGUUCUUGAUGUAUCUAUGCUUUUGGAGGUCGGUUGUGUCUGAGCAGCAGCUUUUAGCUAAACUCAAUUCAGAACAACUGAGCGGGAAGUGAGCAGAGAGAAGGCACGAAACUUGCACGGUUACCGCUCUAGUUUCCCCCUUUGCGUUUAAUUUAGUUUAUAUUAUAUUAUAUAUUAUAUAUUAUAUUAUUUGAGACCAUUUCGUCUGUAAAUGCCCCGACUUUGCGGUUUCAAACAGUUAUUAGUAUAGAGUGUUUCCCUCCUUCAGCCCCAGGGGGCAGCAGUGAACCCGUUCCUGCUCAGAGAAAAUACCGAAGAAGACGCCGCGCUCGAAAACUUAAUUGGACGCGUCGAACAAAGUCUAGAAGAAAGGUUGUGAGUUCAGCAUCAAACUUGAUUCCUUUACUGGGCAAGAGCUGCCUCCAGCGGUGGAAAACAACGCCAAUGUUACCUCGGGUUUUGCUUCUACUUCCAUCACUUCUUUUCUUCUACUGAAGUUAGCAUGCUAACCAACAAUGGCUGCAGCUCUCGGCGAGCAACAGUCGUCACCACCUGCUUCCGAGAGGACAGAGUAGGAAGCCGCCCCAGAGGCCUCCGACAAAAAAAACAAUGGCAGCGCAUUGGCCAGCUGGCCAAACAAACGUGUGUGCACUGACACGGAUAUGUGAGAGUUUUGAAACAACUUGGCACAAGCUCGACUGCCUUCGAGACCAGUACAACGUCUACUGGGGCUCUUACUGGGUAGGUUG